GGGCUCGUAGUUCAGUGGCUAGAACGUCUCGUUGACGUCGAGAAGGUCACCGGUUCGAUUCCGGCCGGGCCCA
rnacentral:tRNA from 1 species